CUUGUCAACAUCUCUAUUCUAAUGCCUGUUCUUAGACAUCUAAAUUAUCAUCAAAAUGUGAUGUAAAUUAACUCAGGUUCAACCCGACUGCAGGGUGUUCUGGCUCAUGUACUGCAGAAGACACAAAUUUUGCUUUUGAGUGACUGGCUUAUGAAUGACACAGCUUCAGUGAGCUUUAGCGAAAGAUGCUGAGCAGUUUCACUCCUGGCCAAAAUGGGGAUAGAAGAUUUCCAAGAACAUCCCCUCCCUCCCUGGUACUCUGAAAAGUGGUCUGAAGGUCAGUUGAUGGUACACUCCUAUCUGCAUCAGUCCAGAGAUGGAUCUAAAACACCCGAUCCAAAUCUCCUCAGAUAUCUUUGAGCAUACAGUAGAACCUCAGAGCUAUGAACACCAGAGUUACCAAUUGGCUGGUCAACCACACACCUCAUUUGGAACCGAAAGUACGCAAUCAAGCAUCAGAGACACACCCUCCCCCAAAAAAUCCCCCAAAAGCAAAUACUGUACAGUACAGUACUGUGUUAAACAUAAACUACUAAAAAAAUAAAGGCGAAGUUUA